rnacentral:rRNA from 1 species
AUUGAACGCUGGCGGCAUGCCUUACACAUGCAAGUCGAACGGCAGCGCGGGUGCUUGCACCUGGCGGCGAGUGGCGAACGGGUGAGUAAUAUAUCGGAACGUGCCCUAGAGUGGGGGAUAACGUAGCGAAAGUUACGCUAAUACCGCAUACGAUCUACGGAUGAAAGUGGGGGAUCGCAAGACCUCAUGCUCCUGGAGCGGCCGAUAUCUGAUUAGCUAGUUGGUGGGGUAAAGGCCCACCAAGGCGACGAUCAGUAGCUGGUCUGAGAGGACGACCAGCCACACUGGGACUGAGACACGGCCCAGACUCCUACGGGAGGCAGCAGUGGGGAAUUUUGGACAAUGGGGGCAACCCUGAUCCAGCAAUGCCGCGUGAGUGAAGAAGGCCUUCGGGUUGUAAAGCUCUUUUGUCAGGGAAGAAACGGUCUGGGUUAAUACCCUGGGCUAAUGACGGUACCUGAAGAAUAAGCACCGGCUAACUACGUGCCAGCAGCCGCGGUAAGAC